ensembl:rRNA 5S_rRNA 5S ribosomal RNA
GUGUACAGACAAACCAGCUGAAGAAUGCCCAAUCUUGUCUGAUCUCAGAAGCUAAGAACGCUUGGGCCUGGUUAGUACUUGGAUGGGAGACUACCUGGGAAUACCAGGUGCUGUAAGCU